UACGGGGGGGGCAAGCGUUGUUCGGAAUUACUGGGCGUAAAGGGCUCGUAGGCGGCCAUCUAAGUCGGACGUGAAAUCCCUCGGCUUAACCGGGGAACUGCGUCCGAUACUGCUGUGCUAGAGUGCGGAAGGGGCAACUGGAAUUCUUGGUGUAGCGGUGAAAUGCGUAGAUAUCAAGAGGAACACCUGCGGCGAAGGCGGGUUGCUGGGCCGACACUGACGCUGAGGCGCGAAAGCUAGGGGAGCGAACGGG
rnacentral:rRNA from 1 species